AAGCCAUGAUGUGGGCACUGAGUUGUAUAGCUCCUAAACCUGUCCCAAGCUUCUCCAAAGGUCUCAUCAGAAUGCUGAGUGAAGCUUGAAAUCUUGGUCCUUAGCCU
rfam:Eutrema salsugineum unplaced genomic scaffold scaffold_3, whole genome shotgun sequence.